rnacentral:rRNA from 1 species
CACGUAGGGCGCAAGCGUUGUCCGGAAUUAUUGGGCGUAAAGAGCUCGUAGGCGGUCUGUUACGUCUGCUGUGAAAACCCAGGGCUUAACCCUGGGCUUGCAGUGGAUACGGGCAGACUAGAGGCAGGUAGGGGAGAAUGGAAUUCCCGGUGUAGCGGUGAAAUGCGCAGAUAUCGGGAGGAACACCGGUGGCGAAGGCGGUUCUCUGGGCCUUACCUGACGCUGAGGAGCGAAAGCGUGGGGAGCAAACAGG